ACGACCUUACUUGAACAGGAUCUGUUCUAUAGGCUCGUACUACUGUAUCCUUGAUUUCAAAGGAGACAGGAACUCAAGUCUGGAUGAAGAAAUGAGACCGCACGAUCAGAGCGUGACUAACGGCUGAGAUGCUUAUCAAGCUGAUACUUCAUCUUGUGCUGUAGAUGAUCGUUCUCGGACAGUGCAAGCUGUGCGGGGUGGUCGUGCGGUGAUAUGACAGACU